rnacentral:lncRNA from 1 species
UGUAUCGUUUAGCCUUGUUGUCGACACAGUAAUGCCACAGUUUCGCAGUUCCAGGCGACACACAGGCAUGUUGCUGUGCGUUCAGGUAGCUAUCAUUCACGAGGAUGUGAAAUCCAGCUGUUCGCCUGUGUACAGGCGAUGCAUCAUUCAGGGCGAUCAUGUUAAAGCGUAUCAUGACUUAGACCUCCCCCUGGCAGCAAACAUGAUACAUGACACUCACGUUUGUGUUCUGCGCUAAAUGUUGAUGUUUCCCCGUACACGUCAGGUGGCACCCUCCUCGUUAUUGAAGGGUAUUGACAGUGACGGCUGUCGUCGGUUCGAAGGCUAGGCAGCGGAAUUCUUAUUAGGGAUGGUGCUGUGAGUAGCAGAGUUCUUCACGAGUGUCACGUGUCGAGCAGACGGCGGGGUUCAACGAUGGCGCAUCAUAUGCUUGUUUGCGUUAUGUGUCUGCAUUCAUGCGUGGAGCACGACUGUGUGUCUUGGAAGUCCUUGUUGGUCUGUGGUGCGUCGCCCAGCGCUGUCUCGAUGCCCCCGAUGUACAUCUGAACUGUACCGGUGCUCAUACUCGCGAUAGCUCCAGGGCGCCGUAGCGCUGCGUCAUCCUCAAGCAGUCGCCGAUGUACACACAACCGGUAUCAUGACGUUUUCCACCGGCCACAUCCCUAUGCGUUGACGCGUAAGAGUGAAUGCGGUGACGUUAGGUUGCCCGACGAGUGGUCCACCGUCGCUGAAGAGUGCAACGACGCGACAGAUGUGAG